GCGGGAGUAGCUCAGGGGUAGAGCACAACCUUGCCAAGGUUGGGGUCGUGGGUUCGAAUCCCAUUUCCCGCU
rnacentral:tRNA from 2 species